AAUAGAUACCCUGGUAGUCCACGCCGUAAACGAUGGAUACUAGCUGUUUGGUAGUAAUACUGAGUGGCUAAGCGAAAGUGAUAAGUAUCCCACCUGGGGAGUACGGGCGCAAGCCUGAAACUCAAAGGAAUUGACGGGGGCCCGCACAAGCGGUGGAGCAUGUGGUUUAAUUCGAUGAUACGCGAGGAACCUUACCAGGGCUUAAAUGUAGUUUGACGUUAUUGGAAACAGUAAUUUCUUCGGACAAAUUACAAGGUGCUGCAUGGUUGUCGUCAGCUCGUGCCGUGAGGUGUCAGGUUAAGUCCUAUAACGAGCGCAACCCCUGUUGUUAGUUGCCAGCGAGUAAUGUCGGGAACUCUAGCAAGACUGCCAGUGUAAACUGCGAGGAAGGUGGGGAUGACGUCAAAUCAUCACGGCCCUUACGUCCUGGGCCACACACGUGCUACAAUGGCCGGUACAGAGAGCAGCCACUAUGCGAAUAGGAGCGAAUCUAUAAAGCCGGUCACAGUUCGGAUCGGAGU
rnacentral:rRNA from 1 species